UACUCCCUGACAUACACUGGAAGGGAAAAAUUAAUCCUUAAAAAGGCAUGUAAUUCGAAAAAUAAAUCAUUUCUAUUUCAUCAAAUCAUCUCUUGGGUUUUUUGGAAAGAAACCACUUUUCUCCCUCCGGGAGUUUCAACAACCCUCAAAUCGCCGGCGAUACAACAACGAGGACCUUGUCAUCAGGGCUGCAACCACAUAACCAAGACUGCAACGACCAACAUCCGUAGGCCUGGUGGAAUACAGCACCUACAACCCCAGAGCCCGUUGCAGAACCAGCAGCAGUACCAUACGACAUCAAGAAGAUACCAUCAGCUACCAAAAGCCAUAAGUAUAAUCCAGAAUUGUUAGUUUUUGGCAAGAAUUUAAAUACAUUUGUUAAUGCAAUUUA